UAGCGACUCACACAAGAGGAAGUAACACAGUUUACUGUAUUCAGCGUAUCGUCCGUGCUGAGCAAUAUAGCUAAAAUGACAGCUUUUAAUAUUUCGCCCAUGAUUAUUGUGGCAGCACUACUCUCAAAUGCAGAAUUCAAAUUGGCGGAGUCGUUGAAUGUCACGCGAGCUGCCGGCGAUUACUUCGAUAACCCAGACUGCGACUCGAAUACAUGCCCCAGAAUCUGUAGCAGAUAUAAUGCAGAAUGCACCGACAACAAUGAGUGUACACGAUGUUAUUGUCGGAGAGCAUAUGCGUUAAAUUUCGUUGGGGAUGGCAGAUACGGAGGCAGAUGCUUGACAAACAAUGAAGUCGUUAAAUAUUCAG